rnacentral:tRNA from 1 species
CUCCAGAUAGCCUAGUGGAUCAGGCUUUGGAUCGCCAAUCCGGAGACGGUGGGUUCAAUUCCCGCUCCGGUCG